rnacentral:misc_RNA from 1 species
UGUGAUAUGUUAUUGUCUAUAUUGUUGUGUAGCACCAGAAGUUACAUAACAAACACCAGCUCUUCAACCUUCGGUUUAGCUAUACAGAUCAUCAUCAUCUCCAGCAGCGGUUGCUGAUGCAAAUGGAUCUGAAGCCCCUCCAGCUGCAGCAUUCUCAGUACGAUCUGAAAACCUAAAUUCAGUCCCAAAUCCACGAGAUUGCUGUAGGGUCUGCGCAAAGAGCUGAUACUUCCUGAUGUCUGCAUCGCUAACACUACGGCGGGCAAACUUCAUUGAUUCCUCAAAAUGAGCAGCCUUUAUCUCAGGGACAUCAUCAACAUCAUCUUCUUCCAUGGCCUCAGGGUUCUCUUGCUUUCUUUUCUCCCUCUCAAUAUCCUUCUCAAUAUUUUCUCUAAUAGCAUAUUUGCAAGCACGCUGGCAAAUUUCAGUUAUAUCAGCACCACUGAAACCAUGAGUGUAUCGUGCAAGAGCCGCUAGGUCAACAUCCCUACAGACAGGUGACUUGCGCAAACAUGCUUUAAAUAUCUGAAGUCGGGAAGCUUCAUCAGGUAGAGGGAUAUAAAUCAAUUGGUCCAAACGACCAGGCCUCAGCAAUGCUGGAUCAAUGAUAUCAGGUCUGUUUGUGGCCCCGAUGAUAAAAACUGUCUUCUUAGCUGUCAUCCCAUCCAUUUCUGUCAGAAGUUGGUUCAGUACUCUAUCUGCAGCACCCCCAGCAUCACCGACAGAGCUGCCACGCUGAGUUGCAAUGGAAUCAAGUUCGUCAAAGAAAAGUACACAUGGAGCAGACUGCCGUGCUUUGUCAAAUAUUUCCCGCACAUUUGCUUCACUCUCUCCAAACCACAUAGUCAGCAGCUCAGGACCUUUAACACUAAUGAAGUUGGCCUGGCAUUCAUUAGCAAUUGCUUUUGCAAGUAAGGUUUUACCACAGCCAGGGGGUCCAUAAAAGAGAACACCUUUAGAAGGUGACAUGCCAAAUUUCUCGAACUUCUCAGGAUGUUCCACAGGAUAUUGGACAGUCUCUUGAAGCUCUCUUUUAACAUUUUCCAAUCCACCAAUAUCAUCCCAUGAAACAUUAGGAACCUCUACAACUGUUUCUCGCAAGGCUGACGGAUUUGAAGAUCCCAAUGCAGUCUGGAAGUGUUCAUUGGUCACAGCCAUUGAAUUUAACACCUCAGCGUCAAUUGUCUCAUCCUCCAAGUCAAUAACAUCCAUUUUCUCCCUAAUACACUGAAGAGCAGCCUCUGUGCAGAGGGCAGCAAGAUCUGAACCAACAUAACCAUGGGUAUCUUUUGCAACUCGUUCAAGAUCAACAUCUUCAGCAAGUUUCAUAUUUUUAGUAUGGAUUCUGAGGAUUUCCAAACGUCCAACUUCAUCUGGCACACCAAUGUCAAUCUCUCUAUCAAAUCUCCCAAACCUCCUCAGGGCUGGGUCAAUGCUGUUGGGCCUAUUAGUAGCUCCAAUAACAAUCACAUGUGCUCGGCUCUUUAGGCCAUCCAUUAAAGUCAAAAGUUGUGAUACUAUACGCCUCUCCACCUCACCCUGAGUCUUCUCCCUCUUUGGAGCAAUAGAAUCAAUCUCAUCUAUAAAGAUUAUGGAUGGAGCAUUCUUUUCAGCUUCCUCAAACGCCUUUCUUAAGUUGCUCUCACUCUCACCAGCCAACUUUGACAUUAUCUCAGGGCCAUUAAUUAAAAAGAAGAAUGCACCAGUCUCGUUUGCCACAGCUCUUGCAAUCAGAGUUUUUCCAGACCCAGGAGGCCCAUAUAAUAAAAUACCUUUUGGGGGCUUCACACCAAUUGAUUUGAAAAGCUGUGGGUGCCUAAGGGGAAGUUCUACAAGUUCACGAAUUUGAGCCAUUUGCUUCCUGACACCACCAACAUCAUCAUAACCCACUUCAUUCAACCGCUCCUCAUCCUCACGCUUGAUAGGCUCUCCUUCACAGAAGAUUUCAGUGUCUGGCGCAACAACACAAUAUUCACCAGGGUCUGUCUCAAUCACUUUAAAUUCAACACUGCGCAUACCACCCCUGACCAGAAAAAGGUCACCCUUCCUCACAGGCCGGUAAGAUUCCAAGAAAUAUGGUUUCAAAUAUGCAUCAAACAAAUUGCCCGUAACACCCUCAAUAGUGUCAUCAAUUGGAAGGAUGUGAACCCGCUUCCCAUACUUCACGUCCGGACACUGAUGGACAGAGACCACAUCUCCAAGGCGUACUCUAAGAUUAGCUCUGACAACUUUGUUCACUCUGAUUUUCGGUUCUUCACAUUGUUCAUCAGCAAGAACAACACAAACUGUGUCUCUUCUCUUUUUUCCCUUAAUUAGCACAGUGUCUCCUCGAAAAAACUGAAGCAUUUCCAUGGUAGCAGGAUGAAUAAGGACCACAGAAUUGUCAUCAUUAAUGGCCUCGUCAACAACAAGACGGUUGGGAGACUUCUUUCGCUCCAAAAUUGCAGUUGAAUAAUCUUUCUUACCGCUUUUCGGGUCGGAGGAAGAGGAGGGCUGGGUAGAGUUUGGAUCGGCCAUUAAUAAAAGGUAUUAUCCUUUGUGGAGAAUUGUGUUAGAAAACCUGCGUUUGUAAGUUUGGAACUGGAGCGAAG